rnacentral:rRNA from 1 species
GACGAACGCUGGCGGCGUGCUUAACACAUGCAAGUCGAACGGAAAGGCCCUGCUUUUGUGGGGUGCUCGAGUGGCGAACGGGUGAGUAACACGUGAGUAACCUGCCCUUGACUUUGGGAUAACUUCAGGAAACUGGGGCUAAUAUCGGAUAGGAGCCCCUGCUGCAUGGAGGGGGUUGGAAAGUUUCGGCGGUUGGGGAUGGACUCGCGGCUUAUCAGCUUGUUGGUGGGGUAGUGGCUUACCAAGGCUUUGACGGGUAGCUGGCAUGAGAGGGUGACCGGCCACAUUGGAACGGAGAUACGGCCCAGACUCCUACGGGAGGCAGCAGUGGGGAAUAUUGGACAAUGGGCGGAAGCCUGAUGCAGCAACGCCGCGUGCUGGAUGACGGCCUUCGGGUUGUAAACCGCUUUCGCCGGUGACGAAGCGUGAGUGACGGUAAUGGGUAAAAAAGCACCGGCUAACUACGUG